rnacentral:rRNA from 1 species
UACGUAGGGUGCGAGCGUUGUCCGGAAUUAUUGGGCGUAAAGAGCUUGUAGGCGGUCUGUCGCGUCUGCUGUGAAAAUCCGGGGCUCAACCCCGGACUUGCAGUGGGUACGGGCAGACUAGAGUGUGGUAGGGGAGACUGGAAUUCCUGGUGUAGCGGUGAAAUGCGCAGAUAUCAGGAGGAACACCGAUGGCGAAGGCAGGUCUCUGGGCCAGCUACUGACG